rnacentral:misc_RNA from 1 species
AUAUAUCAGUCUUGACUAAACACGAAAUAACAAUGAACGAGAAGACAAAUUUCUACCAGACCGGAAAUUAAAACACUCUCCUCUGUUUACUCUUUACCUGAUGCAGAGACUGAAACAUUUAAGAUGGUUAUUGAGCCAUGUAAUAUCUCGUAGAGUAAAUGGCGUCAAAUGUUUUGGAUCUUCAUUAUUUGGUGUUAAACAGCAUCAAUUCUUUUUAAGCAGUAGAGCCAUGGCAUCAGGUGGAGUAACAAGCAAGAGCAAUGAAAAAAGGAAUAGACUGUCCAAGGAGCUGUCUCCAUAUUUGCUGCAACAUGCAUCAAAUCCUGUUGACUGGUAUCCAUGGGGUCAGGAAGCUUUUGAUAAAGCAAAGCUGGAAAAUAAGUUGAUUUUCCUGUCAGUUGGGUAUUCUACGUGUCACUGGUGUCAUGUGAUGGAACGAGAAUCAUUCGAAAAUGAAGAAAUUGGUCGUAUAUUGAAUGAGAACUUUGUCUCCAUUAAGGUAGACAGGGAAGAGAGGCCAGAUGUAGAUAGGGUUUACAUGACAUUUAUUCAGGCCACUGUGGGCGGGGGAGGGUGGCCAAUGAGUGUGUGGCUGACUCCAGAACUGAAGCCGUUAUUUGGAGGGACCUACUUUCCGCCAGAUGACAGAUAUUACGGACGACCAGGGUUUAAAACAGUUUUGACAAGUCUUGCUGAGCAAUGGAAGACAAAGGGACCUGUUUUAAAGGAGCAGUCCUCGGUCAUUCUACGGACCCUCCAGGAGGGGACCAGUGCCUCUGAAGCCCCAGGACAGUCCCUCCCUGACGUCAAAGACUGCACAGAGAAAUUGUAUUAUCAGCUAGAAAGAUCCUUUGAUCAGGAAGAUGGAGGGUUUUCAAAAGAACCCAAAUUUCCACAACCAGUCAAUUUCAAUUUCCUUUUCCGUUUGUAUGCCAAAUAUAAAGAUUCCUUCAGUGAUAUGGCAAACAGCAGUCUAGAAAUGGCAACAUUUACACUCAACAAAAUGGCAAAAGGAGGGAUAUUUGAUCACAUUUCUAAGGGCUUUCACAGAUAUUCUACAGAUGCUGUUUGGCAUGUUCCUCAUUUUGAGAAGAUGCUGUAUGACCAGGGGCAGCUUCUCUUUAGCUAUGCUGAAGCAUAUCAGAUCACGAAACAAGAUGAAUUUGCAGAGGUAGUACGAGACAUAGCUGAGUACACCAUGAGAGAUUUACUGAACCCAUGUGGAGGGUUUUAUAGUGCUGAGGAUGCAGACUCUUUACCAACUGCAGAGAGUCCAGAAAAGAAAGAGGGGGCCUUCUGUGUCUGGACUUAUCAACAGAUACAGGAUAUCCUACAGGAGAAGGUCAAGGACAACCUCUCUCUGGCCCAGAUCUUCUGUUACCACUUCAACAUCAAAGAAAAAGGAAAUGUUAAUCCGAUGCAGGAUCCUCAUGAUGAGUUACUGAACCAAAAUGUGUUGAUUGUAAAAGACUCAGUGGAGGAAACAGCUCAGAAGUUCUCUUUGAAUCCUGUUGAAGUAAAAGAUGUUCUUGAGAAGUGUAGAACUCUUCUGUACAAGGAGAGACAAAACAGGCCCAGACCACACCUUGAUGAUAAGAUAGUAGCUGCUUGGAAUGGUUUGAUGAUUUCUGGACUGUCUAAGGCAGGGCAAGCCCUAGGGGAGUCUCUGUUUGUAGAUCAGGCUGUGAAGACUGCCUCAUUCCUCCAGAGCCACAUGUAUGACAAGACCAGCAGUACCCUGUACAGAACUAGCUAUGUGGAGAAGGACUCCAUCUCCACGGGGCAAGUCCUCUCCAAUAGAAGGUUUUGUGGAUGAUUAUGCUUACGUUAUCCGGGGUCUUCUAGACUUGUACGAGGUCUGUCAGGAUGAGCAAUGGGUACAGUGGGCCGAGGAAUUACAGGAGCGACAGAACGCUUUGUUCUGGGACAGCGAGGGCGGGGCUUAUUUCAGCAACAGCGGCAGAGAUGCCUCCAUUGUCCUUAGGCUCAAGGAUGAUCAGGAUGGUGCAGAGCCAUGUCCUAACUCGGUGUCCGUCAGCAAUCUGGUCAGGCUUGGAGCUCUAUUAAACAAUCAGGAUUACACCGAGAAAGCUGUGACCAUUCUCAAGGUGUUCUACGAGAGACUGACAAAGAUACCCAUUGCUAUACCAGAGAUGGUGUGUGGACUAAUUCUUCUACAGGACACUCCCAAACAGAUUGUUUUGGUUGGAGACCCCAACUCGGAUGAUCUUACUGCACUUAAAAACUGUGUUGCCAAGCAUUAUUUGCCAAACAAAAUUACUAUAACAUGUGAUGGAACAAGUGACAAAUUCAUGAAGGCAAAAUUGGAGUUUUUGAACUCAUUAACAAAGAAAGAUGGCAAAGCGACUGCCUAUGUGUGCGAGAACUACACCUGUGAUCUUCCUGUUACCUCUGUCGCUGAUUUAGAGAGGGUUCUAAAAGUUAAUCCUUAAGUGCUGCUGUGUAGUAACUUGAUCAAUAUGAAUUUUAUACAUAUGUUGUGUGUUUUUAAAAUAUAUACAGAUAUACUGUUUGUGUAAUGGUUUCAAACUAAUUAUACCAGAAAAAGCAAAUGUUUUGAACUUGUUCGUGUAUAUAUG